GAUGAACGCUGGCGGCGUGCCUAAUACAUGCAAGUCGAGCGAACAGACGAGGAGCUUGCUCCCCUGCCGUUAGCGGCGGACGGGUGAGUAACACGUGGAUAACCUACCUAUAAGACUGGGAUAACUUCGGGAAACCGGAGCUAAUAACGGAUAAUAUAUUGAACCGGAUGGUUCAAUAGUGAAAGACGGUUUUGCUGUCACUUAUAGAUGGAUCCGCGCCGCAUUAGCUAGUUGGUAAGGUAACGGCUUACCAAGGCAACGAUGCGUAGCCGACCUGAGAGGGUGAUCGGCCACACUGGAACUGAGACACGGUCCAGACUCCUACGGGAGGCAGCAGUAGGGAAUCUUCCGCAAUGGGCGAAAGCUUGACGGAGCAACGCCGCGUGAGUGAUGAAGGUCUUCGGAUCGUAAAACUCUGUUAUUAGGGAAGAACAAAUGUGUAAGUAACUAUGCACGUCUUGACGGUACCUAAUCAGAAAGCCACGGCUAACUACGUG
rnacentral:rRNA from 1 species